GAUGAAGAACGUAGCGAAAUGCGAUAAGUAAUGUGAAUUGCAUAAUUCCGUGAAUCAUCGAAUCUUUGAACGCACAUUGCGCCCCCUGGCAUUCCGGGGGGCAUGCCUGUCCGAGCGUCAUUUCUGCCCUCCAGCCCGGCUGGGUGUUGGGCGCUGUCCCCCCGGGGACACGCCCCAAAGGCAGUGGCGGCGCCGCGUCGGGUCCUCGAGCGUAUGGGGCUUUGUCACCCGCUCGGGACGGACUCGUCGGCGCUGGUCUUCCUCCAGGCGACCCUUCGGGGCUCGUCUUCCUUCGGUUGACCUCGGAUCAGGUAGGGUUACCCGCUGAACUUAAGCAUAUCAAUAAGCGGAGGA
rnacentral:misc_RNA from 1 species